rnacentral:rRNA from 1 species
UACGGAGGGUGCGAGCGUUGUCCGGAAUCACUGGGCGUAAAGGGCGCGUAGGCGGCCUGAUAAGUAGGGGGUGAAAUCCUGCGGCUUAACCGCAGGGCUGCCUUCUAAACUGUCAGGCUCGAGCACAGUAGAGGCAGGUGGAAUUCCCGGUGUAGCGGUGGAAUGCGUAGAGAUCGGGAAGAACACCGGUGGCGAAGGCGGCCUGCUGGGCAGUGGCUGACGCUGAGGCGCGACAGCGUGGGGAGCAAACAGG